AGUGGGAUAACUGGGUCAAAUGGUGGUUCCAUUCCUAUUUUUUUGAGGAAUAUCCAUACUGCUUUCCAGAGUAGUUGAACUAAAUGCAGUCCCACCAAUAGU
rnacentral:pre_miRNA from 1 species